ACUUAACGACUGAUUUUUUUGGGUAUCAAUUUGCGGAGUCAACAAAUAGUUGGGGAAUAAAAGCAUGCAAGCAAUAGUUCGGUAUUUAAAUUGUCGAUUUUAAAUAGUUCAAGAAUUAAAUGCCCAUUUUCCCUUGAAUCACCUUACAAUUUGAGCUUUCUUAUCAAGCCCAACUUGAGAUUUUUAUUAGCCCAAUCAGAUUUAAGGCCUUUUAGGUCUGAGGAGAUUGAGAUAACUCAUGUUUCAAAUUUUUUUUGUUGUUUUUUUUCAAAUCAAGGUAUUUCGGAUACGAAGAUUCUACUAAUCUAGGAAGCCAGGAGACAAACCAUGUAAAAUACUCCAUGUUCCACAUGUGCGCAGUUUAUUUGAGUAAUAGGUUUUGAAUCCGAAGUACUUACCAUCUUUUUAAGUUCCUCGUACCACCUCAUCACAAUCAUAUGAGUUUUCUUGUUGUUUAUGUUUCUCUCUAAGUACCAAUUUAUCAAGUUUUCAUUAGAGAUUGUCGAGGAGUCUCUUUCGUCACACACCAGAACUGUCUUUUCGAUAAUGUUGUGGCUCGUUAAAAUGUAGCUCUAACAAAUGACUUAUUAAUUUUUAAUAAACAAAGAAACCCUUUGACACAUUUACCAACAGAGCUUAUGAUAAAGACAUAAGAGACACUUCAUAUCCCUAGUGUUUCUUGCCUUUGUACAUACAUUUGGAAUCUGGCUUCGGAGUUCAGAAAAUGACUUGUGGAAAUAGAUAAUUGGGUUGCUUGGACGAAUAUACCCCUCCGUCAUGAUGAAAAAAAAAACAUGUUUGUACUCUGCCAGGGCAGGUCGCGAGAAAAGCGUGUCAGUUCGGUAGAGUGACGUUCGAGAUCGUGGAUUGCCAGGUGGCUCACUUCUGCUCCCCUCAUUGUCUCCUGUUUUUUAGUUAAAAAGGUGGAUGGUAUCUACGAGAUAACAUUGGUAAAAGAAAAUCUUUUAAUUAAUUUUCUUAAAGAAGAUUUUUCAAUUAAUUUUCUUGGAUUAUAUUCAAAAUAAUAUAAGAAAGAAGAUAUUUCAUUUUUUUUAAGAAGAUCUUUUCAAAAAGGACUUUUGUUUAAAGCAUCUCCAAUAGAAUUCUAUAUUGUUUUGAAUAUAAUCCAAGAAAAUUAAUUGAAAGAUCUUCUUUCUUAUAUUAUUUUGAAUAUAAUCCAAGAAAAUUAAUUGAAAUUCUUUAAGAAAAUUAAUUGAAAGAUUUUAGUUUUAAAAAGUCCUCUUAUAAAUUUUUAUGUCAAUAUAAAUAUGCAUCAAUAUAAAGUAGAAUAGAAGAGUCAAACAAUUUAGAAACCAUCCUACAAAAUGGUUCUCUCCAAAAAUUUAUUAAUCGCAUUUAGUUUCGCUAUUUUCUUCUUGAUAUCAAAUGUUCACUGCAUUGAUACUAUUCCGGGUAUUGGCAUAAAAAUGUCGAAAAUAUGCUACGAUACGGUUUCAUGUGCAGGUGACGGAGCUCAAUGCAGAACGUUUUGUACAGGUUUUAAGGCAACAGGGGUUUGUAUUUCUGAAGCUUGUUGUUGUAUAUUUAGAAACAAAAUAUUAAAAUAAUAUCGUUAGAUAAUAUAUAUAUAUUAAUAAAAGUAAAAGAAUGUAAUCAAUAGUAAAUAAACGAUAUUAUGAAAGAAAAAAU